rnacentral:misc_RNA from 1 species
AGCCCAAUUUAAUAAAGAUGUCAUCAUUCCCCUUCUUGCUUGAGAUCUGCUGCAUGGAUUCAAACACUUUAGUAUCCACCUUUCUUUCCUCGGCCUUGAGUGGCUGCAGGGCCUUCCUCUUCUCUUCUAGCACCUUCUCAUAUUCUUCAAGAGUCAUUUCCUUAUCUUCUGGUUCCUUUUCUUCAGGUUCUUUAGCAGUGGCCUCCUUAUUUGCAUCUGCUGUUUGCUCCUCUCCAACGGGCUUCUCAUCACCCAAGGUUUUAUCACCCUCAUUGACAACUUCCACAGUCACCUGAGCAAGUUCAUCAGCCUGACUUCCCCAGUUCCCACGACCAGACCCCUCUCGUUUGAUCUC